rnacentral:rRNA from 1 species
UGGGGAAUAUUGCACAAUGGAGGGAACUCUGAUGCAGCGACGCCGCGUGAACGAAGAAGGCUUUCGAGUCGUAAAAUUCUUUUAUAUGGGAAGAUAAUGACGGUACCAUAAGAAAAAGCCCCGGCUAACUACGUGCCAGCAGCCGCGGUAAUACGUAGGGGGCUAGCGUUGUCCGGAAUCACUGGGCGUAAAGGGUUCGCAGGCGGAAAUGCAAGUCAGGUGUAAAAGGCAGUAGCUUAACUACUGUAAGCAUUUGAAACUGCAUAUCUUGAGAAGAGUAGAGGUAAGUGGAAUUUUUAGUGUAGCGGUGAAAUGCGUAGAUAUUAAAAAGAAUACCGGUGGCGAAGGCGACUUACUGGGCUCAUUCUGACGCUGAGGAACGAAAGCGUGGGUAGCAAACAGG